UACGGAGGGUGCAAGCGUUAUCCGGAUUCACUGGGUUUAAAGGGUGCGUAGGAGGGCAGGUAAGUCAGUGGUGAAAUCCUAGAGCUUAACUCUAGAACUGCCGUUGAUACUAUCUGUCUUGAAUAUUGUGGAGGUGAGCGGAAUAUGUCAUGUAGCGGUGAAAUGCUUAGAUAUGACAUAGAACACCAAUUGCGAAGGCAGCUUACUACGGGAAUAUUGACACUGAGGCACGAAAGCGUGGGGAUCAAACAGG
rnacentral:rRNA from 1 species